rnacentral:rRNA from 1 species
CCAGAGAACUUAGCAGAGAUGCUUUGGUGCCUUCGGGAACUCUGAGACAGGUGCUGCAUGGCUGUCGUCAGCUCGUGUUGUGAAAUGUUGGGUUAAGUCCCGCAACGAGCGCAACCCUUAUCCUUUGUUGCCAGCGAUUCGGUCGGGAACUCAAAGGAGACUGCCGGUGAUAAACCGGAGGAAGGUGGGGAUGACGUCAAGUCAUCAUGGCCCUUACGGCCAGGGCUACACACGUGCUACAAUGGCGCAUACAAAGAGAAGCGACCUCGCGAGAGCAAGCGGACCUCAUAAAGUGCGUCGUAGUCCGGAUUGGAGUCUGCAACUCGACUCCAUGAAGUCGGAAUCGCUAGUAAUCGUAGAUCAGAAUGCUACGGUGAAUACGUUCCCGGGCCUUGUACACACCGCCCGUCACACCAUGGGAGUUGGUUGCAAAAGAAGUAGGUAGCUUAACCUUCGGGAGGGCGCUUACCACUUUGUGAUUCAUGACUGGGGUGAAGUCGUAACAAGGUAGGCGUAGAUGA